rnacentral:rRNA from 1 species
AACGAACGCUGGCGGCAUGCCUAACACAUGCAAGUCGAACGAGACCUUCGGGUCUAGUGGCGCACGGGUGCGUAACGCGUGGGAACCUGCCCUUAGGUUCGGAAUAACUCCCCGAAAGGGGUGCUAAUACCGGAUAAUGUCUUCGGACCAAAGAUUUAUCGCCUUUGGAUGGGCCCGCGUUGGAUUCGCUAGUUGGUAGGGUAAAAGCCUACCAAGGCGACGAUCCAUAGCUGGUCUGAGAGGAUGAUCAGCCACACUGGGACUGAGACACGGCCCAGACUCCUACGGAAGGCAGCAGUGGGGAAUAUUGGACAAUGGGCGAAAGCCUGAUCCAGCAAUGCCGCGUGAGUGAUGAAGGCCUUAGGGUUGUAAAGCUCUUUUACCCGGGAUGAUAAUGACAGUACCGGGAGAAUAAGCACCGGCUAACUCCGUG